UUUUAUUUCACCGUGCUUUUAAUGAAUCUGUUUUGUCCUUUUCCUUGGUGUUGUGAUUUGGAUAGUUAUCUGAAAAGAGCAGAAACUAUCUCAGAUCGUUAAGUGGUCUAAAAGGCUGAUUGGAGAACCACAGCUGAAAUUUUCUGUACACCAGACAGUUACAGCGGUCAGCUGGUUUAAUUUUUCUUGAUGAUCCUUCACGCAUUAAAAAUCGUUUUCUUCCUCCCGGACAAAGGUUUCUGGUCCCAAACUGUAAAACGACAAUAUUUAAAAAGUCACAUUUGUGGAUAAUAUGAUGGCCAAAAUUAAUGUUAAGUUUGUUGUCAGUAUUUUUUGCUGUACUUUUUUGUUUUCUGUUGUUUCUUCAAUUCAUGAGAACAAAUCUAACUACCGUUACAAAUUAAAUACCUGAACCUUAAAAUGUUCAAAUCAAGGAUUCCCAGCACUUUAAUUCCGAACUCAGCGUCCACAUAGAAGUAAUUGGCAAAUUGAAAAAGAAGGUUGGUUGCAAAGUGGUUUGCAGAAGAAACGGCUUAAAAAACACUGCUGAUAUGAACUUUGUUUGAAAUCGUUUAUUAUAUAUCUGGCAUUAGAGGUGAACAUAAACACUUAUCUAAUGUCAUUUCAGCUCUCAAUGCCACCGUGGCUGUUCAGAGAGGAAACAUCAGUCCUGGUUCUCAGGUUCUUAAUCCUGAUCCGCCUCAGAGCACGUCAGACUGGAUCGGUAAUCACACCAGCAGAGCCAGGAAGUGUGGUUCCCAGGGUUCAGAGCUGGACGGCUCCCCUGUUGCCUCUCUCAGCGGGGAUCAGUCCAGUCUGGGCCUGCUGCAGGCCUUGUUGGGUCAGGUGGAGCUGGAUUUGGUUGCACUGAGCCCUGAUACAGCAGCAACAUCUGCACAGAGUCCCAAAAAGCACAGGACACAAAGUCUCACUGGAUUUUCUGUGGCCUUGGUCUCUACACUGGGACGUUGGUGCACAUCCUUAAAAAGGUACUGCCGGAUAUCAAAAAGGUUUUGUCACACAAGCUUUUGGAAAUUAUUAUUCAAACUAAAGAUAAUCCAUGCAGGCUUUACUCACAUAAACAAAAAAUAAGAGCGUGUUAUCAUUGUCACUGCAUCUUUUAGCUUAUAUCCUAUAAGAUAAGGUUAUCUUAUCUUAUAGGAUAUAGGAUACACUCAUUUCUUAUUAAAUGUUGGUUUUAUUUAAAAAGUCAUGUCAUUGAUGGGAUGCAAGGAGACAUGAAUUCCAAGUUUCAAAUCUUUAGAUAGCAGCAAAAGCACAUUUUAGAAAUGCUUGAUCUGUAAAAUGUUUGUUACUAUUACUGAUUUAGCAUCACUAAUGCUGAAAGUCUCAUGUAAAUA
rnacentral:lncRNA from 1 species